rnacentral:tRNA from 1 species
GGAGUGUAGCUCAGUUGGUAGGUGCAUGUCUUGCAAGCACAAGGCCCUGGGUUCAAUCCCCAGCACCA